UCUUUGCUAUAAAAGCCUGAGUGAUCAUCUGUGUUUAUUUCUCUCUUUCCUCUACAGAGUAAGGGAUGUGUUUGAACAGAAGCAGAGCUCUGGGACGUGUGGACAGACUUUCACUGUAAUGAUGGACGUCCGCUCAUGGACAGAAGUAUAACCCCUGCUGGACAUCGUGCUAGGUCUCGGGGGGGACCUGAAUCAUCCCCAUCCCUUCAUUCACACAACACUCACUCAUAUCGCAGAGAUCUGACUGGGAUCGAACCAGCAACCUCUGAACCAUGAGGCAGCGCUCUAACCUGUGAGCCACAGAUCUCUUGCUUGAACUUGUGAAGGAACUUAUAUUUCACUGUUAACCUGUAAUUUUACAAUAAACUAAUUAAACUUUCAAUUGUGUGGGUGUCAUUUGACAGGCUAUGGUGGGACUUGAACCCAUGCUUCAAUCGUAGCUUUGAAUGUAAUGAACACUGUUUAGCCACUAGUGCCACCGUGGCUCUUACGCUGCGUGAUGGCGUUUGGGGCACUUUGUUGGAUAUAAGGCCAACAAUAUAGCAUAAGCAUUAAUGGGGUUCGAACUCAGAUCUCCUUGAGUAAACCACAACGCUUUAUGAACUGAGC
ensembl:lncRNA